UACGGGGGGAGCAAGCGUUGUUCGGAUUUACUGGGCGUAAAGGGCGCGUAGGCGGUCAGCACAAGUCAGUUGUGAAAUCUCCGGGCUUAACUCGGAAAGGUCAACUGAUACUGUGCGACUAGAGUGCGGAAGGGGCAACUGGAAUUCUCGGUGUAGCGGUGAAAUGCGUAGAUAUCGAGAGGAACACCUGCGGCGAAGGCGGGUUGCUGGGCCGACACUGACGCUGAUGCACGAAAGCUGGGGGAGCAAACAGG
rnacentral:rRNA from 1 species